UACGGAGGGUGCGAGCGUUAUUCGGAAUUACUGGGCGUAAAGCGCGUGUAGGCGGGGAUGCAAGUCUGAUGUGAAAGCCCCGGGCGUAACCUGGGAAGUGCAUUGGAAACUGCAUUUCUUGAGUGCUGGAGAGGAAGGGGGAAUUCCCGGUGUAGAGGUGAAAUUCGUAGAGAUCGGGAGGGAUACCAGUGGCGAAAGCGCCCUUCUGGACGGCAAAUGACGCUGAGACGCGAAAGCGUGGGGAGCAAACACG
rnacentral:rRNA from 1 species